rnacentral:rRNA from 1 species
AGUCGAGCGAUGAACACCUUCGGGUGUGAAUUAGCGGCGAACGGGUGAGGAACACGUGAAGAAUCUGCCUUCAACUCUGGGAUAACUCCGGGAAACCGGGGCUAAUACCGGAUAUGAGCCUCGAUCGCAUGAUUGGGGCUGGAAAGUUUUUCGGUUGAAGAUGACUUCGCGGCCUAUCAGCUUGUUGGUGAGGUAAUGGCUCACCAAGGCGACGACGGGUAGCCGGCCUGAGAGGGCGACCGGCCACACUGGGACUGAGACACGGCCCAGACUCCUACGGGAGGCAGCAGUGGGGAAUAUUGGGCAAUGGAGGAAACUCUGACCCAGCGACGCCGCGUGAGGGAUGAAGGCCUUCGGGUUGUAAACCUCUUUCAGUAGGGAAGAAGCGAAAGUGACGGUACCUACAGAAGAAGCACCGGCUAACUAUGUGCCAGCAGCCGCGGUAAUACAUAGGGUGCAAGCGUUGUCCGGAAUUAUUGGGCGUAAAGAGCUCGUAGGUGGUUCGAUACGUCGGAUGUGAAAAUCAGGGGCUCAACCCCUGACCUGCAUCCGAUACGGUCGAGCUAGAGUUUGGUAGGGGAGACUGGAAUUCCUGGUGUAGCGGUGGAAUGCGCAGAUAUCAGGAGGAACACCGAUGGCGAAGGCAGGUCUCUGGGCCAAUACUGACACUGAGGAGCGAAAGCGUGGGGAGCGAACAGGAUUAGAUACCCUGGUAGUCCACGCCGUAGACGGUGGGCGCUAGUUGUGCGAACCUUCCACGGUUUGUGCGACGCAGCUAACGCAUUAAGCGCCCCGCCUGGGGAGUACGAUCGCAAGAUUAAAACUCAAAGGAAAUGUACGGGCCCCCGCANCAGCAGCGGAGCAAUGCGCUUAAUUCGACGCAACGCGAAGAAACUUUACAAAGGCUUGACAUAUACAGGAAUAUGGCAGAGAU